AGUGAACGCUGGCGGUAGGCCUAACACAUGCAAGUCGAACGGCAGCACAGUAAGAGCUUGCUCUUACGGGUGGCGAGUGGCGGACGGGUGAGGAAUACAUCGGAAUCUACUUUUUCGUGGGUGAUAACGUAGGGAAACUUACGCUAAUACCGCAUACGACCUACGGGUGAAAGCAGGGGAUCUUCGGACCUUGCGCGAUUGAAUGAGCCGAUGUCGGAUUAGCUAGUUGGCGGGGUAAAGGCCCACCAAGGCGACGAUCCGUAGCUGGUCUGAGAGGAUGAUCAGCCACACUGGAACUGAGACACGGUCCAGACUCCUACGGGAGGCAGCAGUGGGGAAUAUUGGACAAUGGGCGCAAGCCUGAUACAGCCAUACCGCGUGGGUGAAGAAGGCCUUCGGGUUGUAAAGCCCUUUUGUUGGGAAAGAAAAGCAGCAGGUUAAUACCCCGCUGUUCUGACGGUACCCAAAGAAUAAGCACCGGCUAACUUCGUG
rnacentral:rRNA from 1 species